AAUGUCUUUCUUUGUUUGGUGUGCAAAAAUGAAAGAAAGUUUAAAAUUUGUCUUUUUCGUGUGACGUCGAUAUUGCUUUAAAAAAAAGCGCGGCACGGCAACUCCAUUACAAAAAAGUCAGUGUCAAAUUUGUCAAAAUAAGGUGGUAUUUUGACUGCGUCAAAACGAAGUUUGGUUGCUAGAGAGGGUAU